CCGGCGAUGUCCGAAUGGGGAAACCCAGUGCAAUUCGUUGCACUAUCGUUAACUGAAUACAUAGGUUAACGAGGCGAACCGGGGGAACUGAAACAUCUAAGUACCCCGAGGAAAAGAAAUCAACCGAGAUUCCCCCAGUAGCGGCGAGCGAACGGGGAGCAGCCCAGAGUCUGAAUCAGCUUGUGUGUUAGUGGAACGGUCUGGAAAGUCCGACGGUACAGGGUGAUAGUCCCGUACACCAAAAUGCACAGGCUGUGAACUCGAAGAGUAGGGCGGGACACGUGGUAUCCUGUCUGAAUAUGGGGGGACCAUCCUCCAAGGCUAAAUACUCCUGACUGACCGAUAGUGAACCAGUACCGUGAGGGAAAGGCGAAAAGAACCCCGGCGAGGGGAGUGAAAAAGAACCUGAAACCGUGUACGUACAAGCAGUGGGAGCACCUUCGGGUGUGACUGCGUACCUUUUGUAUAAUGGGUCAGCGACUUAUAUUCUGUAGCAAGGUUAACCGUAUAGGGGAGCCGCAGGGAAACCGAGUCUUAACUGGGCGUUAAGUUGCAGGGUAUAGACCCGAAACCCGGUGAUCUAGCCAUGGGCAGGUUGAAGGUUGGGUAACACUAACUGGAGGACCGAACCGACUAAUGUUGAAAAAUUAGCGGAUGACUUGUGGCUGGGGGUGAAAGGCCAAUCAAACCGGGAGAUAGCUGGUUCUCCCCGAAAGCUAUUUAGGUAGCGCCUCGUGAAUUCAUCUUCGGGGGUAGAGCACUGUUUCGGCUAGGGGGUCAUCCCGACUUACCAACCCGAUGCAAACUACGAAUACCGAAGAAUGUUAUCACGGGAGACACACGGCGGGUGCUAACGUCCGUCGUGAAGAGGGAAACAACCCAGACCGCCAGCUAAGGUCCCAAAGUCAUGGUUAAGUGGGAAACGAUGUGGGAAGGCACAGACAGCCAGGAUGUUGGCUUAGAAGCAGCCAUCAUUUAAAGAAAGCGUAAUAGCUCACUGGUCGAGUCGGCCUGCGCGGAAGAUGUAACGGGGCUAAACCAUGCACCGAAGCUGCGGCAGCGACACUAUGUGUUGUUGGGUAGGGGAGCGUUCUGUAAGCCUGCGAAGGUGACCUGUGAGGGUUGCUGGAGGUAUCAGAAGUGCGAAUGCUGACAUAAGUAACGAUAAAGCGGGUGAAAAGCCCGCUCGCCGGAAGACCAAGGGUUCCUGUCCAACGUUAAUCGGGGCAGGGUGAGUCGACCCCUAAGGCGAGGCCGAAAGGCGUAGUCGAUGGGAAACAGGUUAAUAUUCCUGUACUUGGUGUUACUGCGAAGGGGGGACGGAGAAGGCUAUGUUAGCCGGGCGACGGUUGUCCCGGUUUAAGCAUGUAGGCUGGUUAUCCAGGCAAAUCCGGAUAAUCAAGGCUGAGGUGUGAUGACGAGGCACUACGGUGCUGAAGUAACAAAUGCCCUGCUUCCAGGAAAAGCCUCUAAGCAUCAGGUAACAUCAAAUCGUACCCCAAACCGACACAGGUGGUCAGGUAGAGAAUACCAAGGCGCUUGAGAGAACUCGGGUGAAGGAACUAGGCAAAAUGGUGCCGUAACUUCGGGAGAAGGCACGCUGGUGUGUAGGUGAAGUCCCUGCGGAUGGAGCUGAGACCAGUCGAAGAUACCAGCUGGCUGCAACUGUUUAUUAAAAACACAGCACUGUGCAAACACGAAAGUGGACGUAUACGGUGUGACGCCUGCCCGGUGCCGGAAGGUUAAUUGAUGGGGUUAUCCGUAAGGAGAAGCUCUUGAUCGAAGCCCCGGUAAACGGCGGCCGUAACUAUAACGGUCCUAAGGUAGCGAAAUUCCUUGUCGGGUAAGUUCCGACCUGCACGAAUGGCGUAAUGAUGGCCAGGCUGUCUCCACCCGAGACUCAGUGAAAUUGAACUCGCUGUGAAGAUGCAGUGUACCCGCGGCAAGACGGAAAGACCCCGUGAACCUUUACUAUAGCUUGACACUGAACAUUGAGCCUUGAUGUGUAGGAUAGGUGGGAGGCUUUGAAGCGUGGACGCCAGUCUGCGUGGAGCCAACCUUGAAAUACCACCCUUUAAUGUUUGAUGUUCUAACGUUGGCCCCUUACCGGGGUUGCGGACAGUGUCUGGUGGGUAGUUUGACUGGGGCGGUCUCCUCCCAAAGCGUAACGGAGGAGCACGAAGGUUAGCUAAUCCUGGUCGGACAUCAGGAGGUUAGUGCAAUGGCAUAAGCUAGCUUGACUGCGAGCGUGACGGCGCGAGCAGGUGCGAAAGCAGGUCAUAGUGAUCCGGUGGUUCUGAAUGGAAGGGCCAUCGCUCAACGGAUAAAAGGUACUCCGGGGAUAACAGGCUGAUACCGCCCAAGAGUUCAUAUCGACGGCGGUGUUUGGCACCUCGAUGUCGGCUCAUCACAUCCUGGGGCUGAAGUAGGUCCCAAGGGUAUGGCUGUUCGCCAUUUAAAGUGGUACGCGAGCUGGGUUUAGAACGUCGUGAGACAGUUCGGUCCCUAUCUGCCGUGGGCGCUGGAGAAUUGAGGGGGGCUGCUCCUAGUACGAGAGGACCGGAGUGGACGCAUCACUGGUGUUCGGGUUGUCAUGCCAAUGGCACUGCCCGGUAGCUAAAUGCGGAAGAGAUAAGUGCUGAAAGCAUCUAAGCACGAAACUUGCCCCGAGAUGAGUUCUCCCUGAGACUUUAAGUCUCCUGAAGGAACGUU
rnacentral:rRNA from 2 species